rnacentral:lncRNA from 1 species
AUCUAAGAUUUUAGAUUUGCUUCAACUACAUUAUGAAGAAACUUACAUUAAAGGAAUCCUGUGAUCCCUGUUUUUCAGAAAUUGCUGAUUGAAAUGGCAACUGUUCAGAUAAAUAUGGUAUCAAUUGUCCAAGUCUUGUGAAUCUUCUGCUGUAUAAACCUCUGUUUUAAAAAAUGAACUUCAGUUUGGUUGCCUUGAAGCUGUAGGAAGAAAACACUAAUUAAGAAGAACAAUGUAAUAGAGCUUAACAAUGUGUUCUUCUGGAAAAUAUGCUUUAUAUUAGUAGAUUUAAAGUGGAAGUGUUUGGUGUGCUAGUUAUGGCGCUGGACUCCCCCUCUGGAUCACAGGAGAUGAGAAGCAAGAAAAUUGAGGCUCUGGAUCAAUCUUGCAGCUGUUGUGGGUAUUUACAGGUGGAAAAAGAGUUUGGAGAUGUCCCAUGGCUGGCUCAUUUAAAUGACUAUACAGUUCUGCUUCUUGUGGGGGAAAAAAAAAAAAAAAAAAAAAAAAGAGAGAGAGAGAGAGAAAAAUCUUCAGAACUCCCAUUCUACUCUGGCCUAGAGUUCUUACCUCAAUGAAUCAGUGUGAUCACACUUCCAAGUUUAUAAAUUGCAGCUUGAACACAGUUUUCUACAUAACCCAUUGAUACUUAUAUAAGCCAAUAAAGCUGCUGAAGUAAAGCUGCUGAAGGUGGGA